rnacentral:lncRNA from 1 species
UUUUUUUGGGAGGUGAGAAUCUUCUAAAGACUUCUGGGAAGGUGUCCCAGGUGUGUUGGAUUCAACUCUCUACGCCUAACCGUAGCAAGCCGCCUACCAACUAAACUCACCUCC